AGUGAUGUAGUUCAGUGGCUAGAGUGUUUGCCUAGCACUCACAAAGCCCUGGGUUCAAUUCCGACCUCCGCAU
rnacentral:tRNA from 1 species